rnacentral:rRNA from 1 species
UACGAAGGGGGCUAGCGUUGUUCGGAAUUACUGGGCGUAAAGCGUGCGCAGGCGGCUUCUCAAGUCAGGGGUGAAAGCCCAGAGCUCAACUCUGGAAUUGCCUUUGAGACUGAGUGGCUUGAGUACGAGAGAGGUGAGUGGAAUUCCCAGUGUAGAGGUGAAAUUCGUAGAUAUUGGGAAGAACACCGGUGGCGAAGGCGGCUCACUGGACUGUAACUGACGCUGAGGCUCGAAAGCGUGGGGAGCAAACAGG